GCUAAAGUUAGUUUAAAAGAAAAAUGCUUGCUUGUGGAGCAAGUAAUAGCAGAUAUGCUACUUUAGC
rnacentral:tRNA from 1 species